AUGUCUAAGUCAGAGUCUGCUAAAGAGCCCGAGCAGCUGAGGACACUUUUCAUUGGAGGGUUGAGCUUUGAAACAACUGAUGAGAGCCUGAGGUCUCAAAUCUCAGCCUCAAAUUUUUGAGCAUUUUGAGCAAUGGGGAAUGGUCAGAGAUUGUGUGGUAAGGAGAGAUCCAAGCACCAAGCACUCCAGGGGCUGUGGGUUUGCCACCUAUGCCACCGUGGAGAAGAUGGAUGCAGCCAUGAAUGCAAGGCCACACAAAGUGGAUGGAAGAGUUGCAGAACCAAAGAGAGCUGUCUCAAGAGGCGAUUCUCAAAGACCAGGUGCCCACUCAACUGUGAAAAAGAUAUUUGCUGGUGGCAUUAAAGAAGAUGCUGAAGAACAUCACCUAAGAGAUUAUUUUGAACAGUAUGGAAAAAUGAAGUGAUUGCAAUCAUGACUGAUCGAGGCAGUGGCAAGAAAAGGGGCUUUGCCUUUGUAACCUUUGACGACCAUGACUCCGUGGAUAAGACUGUCAUUCAGAAAUACCAUCCUGUGAAUGGCCACAAAUGUAAAGUUAGGAAAGCCCUGUCAAAGCAAGAGAUACCUAGUGUUUCAUCCAGCCCAAGAGGCUGAAGUGGCUCUGGAAACUUUGGUGGUGGUUGUGGAGGUGGUUUUAGUGGGAAUGACAACUUUGGUCAUGGAUGAAACUUCAGUGGUUGUGGUGGCUUUGGUGGCAGCCAUGGUGGUGGUGGAUAUGGUGGCGGUGGGGAUGGCUAUAAUGGAUUUGGUAAUGAUGGAAGCGAUUCUGGAGGUGAUGGAAGCUACAAUGAUUUUGGCAAUUACAACUAUCAGUCUUCAAAUUUUGGACCCAUGAAGGGAGGAAACUUUAGAGGCAGAAGCUCUGGCCUCUAUGGUGAUGGAGGCCAAUACUUCGCCAAACCAUGAAACCAAGGUGCCUAUGGCAGUUCUAGUACCAGCAGUAGCCAUGGCAGUGGCAGGAGAU
rnacentral:lncRNA from 1 species